UAUGAAAUAAUAUAAAGCAAUUCCUGCUCAAUGAACUUAAAUAGCCGCAGAAUUUUAUACUGUGCUAAGGUAGCAUAAUCACUUGUCUUUUAAUUUAAGAAUAGAAUGAACGGACAUACGAAUUUAAGCUUGUUUCAUAGAUUUUUAAUAAAAUUACCAAAAAGUAAAAACACUUUUCAGAAAAAAAAAGACGAUAAGACCCUAAGGAACUUAACUCAAGUUCAGCUGGGGCGGCUUUUUAAAAAAAUCUUAUCACCUAUUUUCUACCCCCUCCUCUGUUAAAAGUUACCCUAGGGAUAACAGCAUAAUUUUAUUUUCCAGCUCUUAUAAAAAAUAAAGAUUAUGACCUCGAUGUUGAAUUAAUAAUCUUCUAAACGUAAAAUAUUAGAAAGAAAGUCUGUUCGACU
rnacentral:rRNA from 1 species